UACGAAGGGGGCUAGCGUUGCUCGGAAUUACUGGGCGUAAAGGGCGCGUAGGCGGAUAGUUUAGUCAGAGGUGAAAGCCCAGGGCUCAACCCUGGAAUUGCCUUUGAUACUGGCUAUCUUGAGUUCGGGAGAGGUGAGUGGAACUCCGAGUGUAGAGGUGAAAUUCGUAGAUAUUCGGGAAGAACACCAGUGGCGAAGGCGACUCACUGGCCCGAUACUGACGCUGAGGCGCGAAAGCGUGGGGAGCAAACAGG
rnacentral:rRNA from 1 species